rnacentral:rRNA from 1 species
UACGUAGGUGGCAAGCGUUGUUCGGAAUUAUUGGGCGUAAAGGGCGUGUAGGCGGCUUUGUAAGUUAGGGGUGAAAUCCCGGGGCUCAACCUCGGAACUGCCUUUGAUACUGCAAAUCUCGAGUCCGAUAGAGGUGGGUGGAAUUCCUAGUGUAGAGGUGAAAUUCGUAGAUAUUAGGAAGAACACCGGUGGCGAAGGCGGCCCACUGGAUCGGUACUGACGCUGAGGUGCGAAAGCGUGGGGAGCGAUCCAG